rnacentral:lncRNA from 1 species
GUUGGUUUGGUUGUCAUCUGUAAGAUUCCGAUGGUUCGGUUUGGAGUUCGGAGUACCAAGUUACGACCUUAACUGAAGAUUUGCCACUGUUACAUCGUCACGGUUUGCGUAUCUUUGCGACGAUUUCAUUUUACCGUUGUUGUCCAGUUAAACAAUCAUGGAUUGAUGAUAAGAACGAUUCACAAACCGAUGUGAUAUAUAAAGGUGAGUUUAUUUUCUAUUUUGAUGUUAGAUCAUAAUGUUCAGUUUGAUAAUUUGAAGAUUGAUGGAUGGAAUCAAGAAAAGAAUUUUGAUAUUAAUAGAAGUGGGGGGAUUUUAGGUUUAGUUUAG